UCUUAUCCAGCUGAGCAAUUUUGUUGUUUGAAUUUGUCUGCUGAUAUGAACAGAGGUGCAAGCUUCUAGACUUCUCCACUCUGAUGGGAAUGCAUGGAGCUAUACUGCUGCUGCACCCUGAGCUUGUCAGCUGGUGAAAGGAGGCUGUCCUGAUGUUGUGUCCUUCUUGGUUUAAAUCUCUGUUUCCUCCAGAGUCCGCAGCUCAGAGUGCAAAGAUAACCUGCAUUUCCAAAGUCCACUGUCUGUCCUGUACCCGGUGGAUCUCAGACCUGUGAGGAAUUCUGUGGGGAAUGUAGGAAAAGAAAGGAGACACUGCUGAAGUCCCCCUAGCCUCUUUCCAGGUUUCAUUAGGGUGAGGUAAGGAAGGAUCUGAACAGAAAGGCUGAGCCUGCAGGCUGACUUUUUAGACACCUCCAUCCCACUUUACCUUCUAGAGCUAGAGCACAGUACCUGUUUCACCCCAGUACCCCCAGAAAAUAUGGAAAUGAGUUUAUUAUAGUAUUACAAAAGUCUUCGAUUUGUGACUUCUGUGAGUGUCCACAAGCGCUUUAGCUGGAUUAGCACUGGGAUCAUUCUGGAGCAGGAAAAAGCCCAGCCUAAGUGAGGAGAGCAUAUGGCCACUUUGGAAGGGAUUUGUUACUCUGCUACUGCUAUAAUAAAGGAUCAAACCAUUUUUCACCUUGUCAGUGUUAAAACUUUCACUGACUACAGUAGGUGCCAAAAUGUAAACAUGGAAUGUAAACAGUUUUUCUUAAAAGCACAAAAUAUUUUACCUGCCUUACAAAUUCUACUAGUUUACAAAUGUAUCUUUAUUAGAAAACUCAUUUCUA